UAUCAGUGAAAGAUUAAACUAUUUUGUUAAUAGUUUCCAUUAUUUCCAUUAAGUAAAAAUUUAAACAAUACGUCUAUUCUGAAAUAAUAAGCUUCGCCGUGUAGCAGGCGACGAAUUUCGAUCAAAUUCUGAGUCUCGUCCGUGUGCUUGUCUUAUUAGCUUUCGUUCUCUCGGUAGAAAAAUUUGUAGAAAAUAUCACACACGGGAAAAAACAAAAACAUGAACAUAUUUUUGUAGAAUAUUUAAUACGCGAGCAAGACACAGCGUACACGUAUAUUUUGUGGUUUCGCAUGUUGUUCGUCGGUGUUUUUGUGCAAUUAUUUGAAAGAUUUGGCCAAACGCGAAACGCAACGGAAAGCGGAAAAUACAAUAAGACAAUAACAAAUUCGCAGCGCGUGUGUCGUUGAAUGUCGGUGGUUGUGUGCGUGUGUGCUGCUGCCAAAAGAACGCGGAUAUAAACAAAUUUGGAUUUGGAUCGUUGGAGCUGUUUUGUUAUUGGCAUCUAGGGCAGCAGCGGAACUGAGGCGCAGCGGAGCCGCCCAAGUGCAGCUGUAGAAAGUGUUGGUGCGGGCACCAUGGACUCGCUCAAGUUACCAAAGGCCAACAGUGCCACCAGCAGUGCCAGUGGCAGCAACAGCAACCUGUCCGGCUCGACUUCUGCGUCCGCAUCCGCAGCCACAUCGCCCACAUCGUCGGGAACUGCAGUGGGUGGCAUUCUAUCCGGUGCCCCAAAAUCGCCACCUGGCCUGGGCAGCAGCACCCCGAUCUCGGUGCGAUUUAAUGCCAACGAGGAGUCCCUAGACGACAUCCUGCAGUCCUUCCAUCAGAGCAAGCACAGUCCCAGUGGAGGAGCGAGUGGCGGCGGAGAUGCCUCGCCCACAUCGAAUCUGCUCGGGAUGAAGAACAACGGGCUGGGAUUGGUCGUGGGCAACUGUGACUCCCUCUCCAGCAGUCCAUCGCAGCCACAGAUGCAAGGCGGAUCCGCGUCCCUCUUCGGCAACGACGAAGUUAGUCUGCGCAAUAAUUUCAUGCAAGCCGGUGGUUUCUUCAAUCGAAAAAGAUCCGGCAGCAUUGAAGGUGUAUCACCGACGUCCAGCGGUCCAAGCAUCAUAUCCACAUUGUCGGCGGCCAGUGCAGCAGGUGGAGGAGGCAGCUCCGUGGGCGGAGCUGUCGCCGCUGGCGAUAGCAGCUCUAGCGGUGGCACCUGGCGACUAAUCAAGGGCAAGGUCACACAAACCAUCGAGGAGAUCAAGUCCUCGAAGCUGCCACCAACUGCAGCCAUACCUAUUAUAGUGGCUGAUCCACCAUCAACAGGCUGGAGCAACGAUCCCGACUCGGACACCGAGUGCCUCACCGUGAACACAUCCAUUAGUGAGGAGCUUCCCCUGGACUUGGAGCACAAACAGAACUCCGAUUCGGACGUGGAGGCCGAGCUGCUGCAGCACGAUAGCAUAAGCUUGGGCAGUGGCGACGUGCCUGCAGUGGCAGCCACUGGCCACUCGGAACGAUCUCGUCUGCGACGCGGCCUGGCCCACAUUCGAUCCAAGGUAAAGGCCAAACAACAAGCGGCACCGGCCAUGAACAAAAAAGAUGUCAGUCCCAGUGGUUCAACAGUGCCGGCAACAUCGGUGCGCACCGGUUUUCUGCGGCGGCGCAACGUGGUGGAGGCGGGCAGCGAGCCUUCCACCAGCCAGCAGGCGGAGAUUGCGAUCGCGAGUGGCAAGGUGAAGAAACGCGGCAUCCUGCUGGCCCGCAAGGACGUGGAGAUCGAGUCUGGCGUGGAGGUGCUCGAGGAUAUGAUUCCUUCAACUGCAGUGCAGAUCGAUCACUCAAAGGAUGUCGCUAAUAAGCGAGCGGAAGAGGUGACCGACGCUGGAGCUGAUGCCGAUUCUCGAGCCAGUCUAACCCUUCCUGUGGCGCCGGGCGUUAGUACGCUGGCUUUUGCCGACUCAUAUGUGGGAAAAGAAUCAGCUGUUCGGGACACCCGGAGCAGGAUCAGCUUCUUCUCCAACCUAAGCAUGCUCAGUGUUUCCCAGUGGCGAGAGAAGCAUCAGGGCGCCACGGCAUUUGCCCUGCCAGUGCUUCUUUCCGUCUUACUGAUCUUGCUGAUGAUUCUGCCAGUACCCGAUUUUCUGCGAGGAGUCUUCGCCACCCUCUUGUUCUUCACGGUAAUGGACUGUUGUGGUGGUCAUCUGAGAGCUUUGUUCGAGGACUUUAUGCUGACCACGCAUCCGGAACGAGUGGCCUUUGCCAUUCCCAAUUACAAAUUCAUGCCGAUUUGCGAGAUUCCUGCCGUGGAGGAGCACAAGACGAUCAAAACAUAUGCGGGCUGGAUGAAUGAGAUCAACAGCUAUGACCCCAACACGUUCUCCUUUAGUCUCACAAGAGCGGUUUAUGUGCGAUUGGAUGGAAGUAUCCUAAAGAUGUCGGGCACGAACGCCCGGAUCCCUAAGCGGCGCAUGUGGAAUGAGCCGCCAAUUGAUCGUCACAAGAUCCUGUUCACGGAUCAUCGUUCUUAUGAUCUCCGAGACUGCCGGAUAGAAUUGCUGCCUUUGGGUCUCGCCAAUAAGCGUUUCUUUAAUCGCAAGUAUCCUAUACAACUGAUCAUCAAGAGUAACAGGGAUAUGCCCGAUGAGCAGAGCUCCGUGGAAAGCCAGUCAGAGCCAACGGUUAAAACGGAUGCCAAAGAAGCUAAAGCUGCGUCCUCAUCGGGAACUACACCACCCGGAGGAGAGGAGGAGAAACUAGUGGAUUUUGCGGGCACGGUUAUGCAGGCAGAUUUACAGCAACUGCGGAACACGGUUAAUCCGGACAAGGAGCUCAACGACAUUACCGUGCCCUGUGGCGAUGAGGUGCGUUUACUGCUCUUCUCGAGAUGUGAUCGGGAAAAAGAAGACUGGUAUCGACGCUUCACAAACGCCAGCAAGGGCUUAGUUCACGAACAGGACCUCCAGGUGCCAAUGGCCCGUUUCGUGGAAGAUUCUGAUCUUCAGGCGGCGGCAGCUAGACAGGCCUUGCUCCUGGUCACUGGAAUGGGAAAGGCUGGCGUCAAGUCUGAAGAUGAAAUUUCGGCUGGGAAAGGUAAUGAUGAAACUGAUCAGCAGACUCCAGAUGGGCAGUUUGAGAAUAUCACCGAAGAGGACUUACUCGACACACCCAAGGAUGAGUCCUUCGAUGGCAUGAUCAUGAGUGCCAAUGUGGCCAGGAAUUCGCCAGACUACGUUCGAUUCAUGGCCGUUUACCAGAAGGCUUGUAACCAGAGCACUAUUCCUGUUACCCGAAGUUCCGUUGGAACAAUGCGUACCACUGAUCGGCGGCCAAGAAAAUCUCGUCGUGCCAAACGUCAGGAAGAUGAGCUGUGGAAGGGCAUUGACCAGUCGUUGUUCUUGGGUCCUUCUGGCAGCAUUGUGUGGGCUAAUGUGCUUCUGGGACGAUGCCUAUACAGCUGGCUACACGAUGCCAUGCUGCACGAGAAGCUCAAGGAGGUUUUGCAAAAGAAAUUAAACUCUAUUAAGCUACCCAGCUUCAUGGAGGAGGUUAUCAUCACAAACAUAUACUUGGGUGAGUCCCCAUUACUAUGUCAUCGUGUCUCCCAACCGAUGCUGGAUGAACGCGGCGUGUGGAUUGAUGCCGAUGUGACCUACGAGGGAUUGGCACACAUAACAGUUACUACAAAGCUUAAUCUGCUGCGCAUACGCAGCAAGACAAAGUCACCAAUGGCCACCGAUAAUGUGCCCACCACCUCAAUUCUGCCGGAGCAAUCGCAGGAUUCGCGCAGCCUUUCAGAGGUAAAUUCGGAAAACGUCAUCUAUGACAGUGAUGCGGAGAGCUCGGGCGGUUCAUCCACUGAAUCCGAGAGCCCACCGCCGGGAAAUGCUCCAGAGAAUGCGGCUGGAACGGAAUUCUUUCAGAACUCACCCGGCAAUGCGCGUCGCAUCUUUAAGAUUGUCGACCGCAUAGCCGCCUCUAAUCUAUUUCAAUACGCCACCGAGCUGCCGUACGUGCAACGAGCCAUGGAGAACAUGAACGCGAAUAUCACACUGCGCGUAGAUCUCAAAGGUUUGGUGGCCCGCGGCACUUUAAAUGUGCCACCGCCACCAUCCGAUCGAGUGUGGGUUAGCUUCCGGGGACCGCCUCGCCUUUGGAUAUCCACCAAGCCCCAAGUGGGCGACAAAUCCGUCGAUUGGUCCAUUGUGACCAAUGUCAUUGAGAGCAAACUGUGCGAGGCUGUAAACAAGUUUCUGGUCUAUCCAAAUAUGGUAGACUUCUCCAUACCAUUCCUGAGUAACCCCAACUAUGAUGAGGAGCAAGGGAACGCAGCCAACUAAAUACCAAAAUAUAGAGGAAAAGGCAGGGAAUAAGAAAAGAGAUACAAUUUAUAUUCGAUGAAUUUAACACAAAGUAUCUUCGAUCUCCAGUUCCGGUUUCGAAUACUUAAUCGCAUAAAGUGAUGAGUACAAGGGACGACCGAUUCCAAAUGACAAGUUACGAAACGCUUAUUUUCAUCACAUUCUGUUGAAACUCAAGAACAAUCCCAAUCUUAGCUACAAUAAUUUUCACAUACAUAUAUCAAGAAAGUCUAAUAAGAAGAAUAUAGCAUGCAUAUUGAAUAUGCCGCAACAGCCGCUCUGUGAGGUCAUCACGACAAGUAUUCCAAUAGGAUAAUGCAGGCAUCUACAGCUCUAUAACUUAUCCACUAUUCUAAACGAAUAACUACAAUAUACACACCUAUACAUAUAUAUUUAUAUAUUCCAAGAAGAUUAGUCCUAGAAUGCGUGUGAAUUUUAAAUAAGAAAAUCUAAUUUUAUUUGCAGUAUGUGGUUAUUUGAUCGGUGAUCAACCAUUAAAUGUAUGUACUUAAGCGUUUGUACUAUUAGAAAGAACGCAACUAAAUUAUGAAAGAGCGGAAAUGGAUCCGCAUAUUUUGCCAAAUGAGAA
rnacentral:misc_RNA from 1 species